rnacentral:rRNA from 1 species
UUGACGGGGCCGCACAAGCGAGGAGCAUGUGGUUUAAUUCGAUGAUACGCGAGGAACUUACCUGGGCUCGAACGUAAGAUGACUGUAGGUGAAAGCUUACAUCUCUUCGGAGCAUUUUACGAGGUGCUGCAUGGUUGUCGUCAGCUCGUGCCGUGAGGUGUCGGGUUAAGUCCCAUAACGAGCGCAACCCCUACCUUUAGUUGCCAUCAGGUUAAGCUGGGGACUCUAAAGGAACUGCCUACGCAAGUAGUGAGGAAGGCGGGGAUGACGUCAAAUCAGCACGGCCCUUACGUCCAGGGCUACACACGUGCUACAAUGGCCGAUACAGAGGGCAGCUACCUGGUGACAGGAUGCAAAUCUCCAAAGUCGGUCUCAGUUCGGAUCGGAGUCUGCAACCCGACUCCGUGAAGUUGGAUUUGCUAGUAAUCGCGCAUCAGCCAUGGCGCGGUGAAUACGUUCCCGGGCCUU